rnacentral:rRNA from 1 species
GACGAACGCUGGCGGCGUGCUUAACACAUGCAAGUCGAACGAAGUGGCGAACGGGUGAGUAACGCGUAAUCAAUCUGCCCUUCAGAGGGGGAAAACAGUUGGAAACGACUGCUAAUACCGUAUACUGAAGUAGGGGAUUGCGUCUGAUUAUCUAGUUGGAGGGGUAACGGCGCACCAGGGCGAAGAUCAGUAGCCGAUCUGAGAUGAUGAUCGGCGACAUUGGGACUGAGACACGGCCCAGACUCCGACGGGAGGCAGCAGUAGGGAAUCUUCCGCAAUGGACGAAAGUCUGACGGAGCAACGCCGCGUGAGUGAUGACGGCCUUCGGAUUGUAAAGCUCUGUUAUUCGGGACGCGGUACCGGAAUAGAAAGCCACGGCUAACUACGGGCCAGCAGCCGCGGUAAUAC